UAACUGUGAAGACCGUUUCCUGCGACCGUCCAACCAGAAGGGUCUACACCGAGGGGUAGCCACAACACGACGCCUCCUGAGCCGACCAAGCUGACAGCCAAUCAAGAGAGUCACCUAAAGGAUAUCCCGGGAGCUACUCAUUGAGAUAUCCGUGGGAUUGCCUUCGUCUGUCUGGGAUAAUUUGGGAUAUCCUCAGGAUAAAGUGUGCUGUGUGGGUUACGGCCGGCUAGGCCGUUAUUUGUUCUCGGAAGUCUGUAUUAAAUUAAAUCUCUCUGAUAAAAGCGUGUGAGACAUUAAAGUGGAUAGACCUAACCUCCCCGGUGGGCUGGGGCCGGCGGAUGGCCACGUGCCAUCCCCGCCUUCGCCUCCAUAUGAAGAGAUAUCGAACGAUCUGAAGAAAUUUUGCACACAAAUCAGUAAAAAUAUGUCUCAAGAAGAAGUCAUGGAUAUAAGCCCGGUGGAAAUAACGUCUGCAAAGAGAGCUCUUUCAACAGAAGGUGAGUCGGACAAUCGUCAGCCUCCCCCCAAAAAUCAAAAGAAGAUCCGAAAGCCCCCUUCCAAGGAGGCUAAGGAACAUGAGGCAGCCUCAACUUCAUCUGAAAUAGUGACCGGCACGCAGUCCAAGGACCUCCCAGUGAAAUAUGGUGCCUUUACAAAGGCCCCAUAUGUUUUACACUUUAGACUGCCCUCCUCAAAGACGGACAAGGAAAAGACGAGAAAGAGGACCUCCCUGCUAAAGGUAUCAAAAAUGCUUGCUAAUGCCAACGUCAAAUUUUUGAAUCUAAGAAACUAUUCGUUCGACAUGUGGGUGGCUACUUUUCCCACGAAAACGGCAGCUAAUGCAGUACUCUCUAAUAAAUAUAUAAAAGAUGCAGGCUUUGCUGUUUUUAUUCCGGCAUACAAGCUAACACGCAAGAUGGUCAUCAGAAAUAUUCCUAUAGAAUUUUCUCUAGAAGAAAUAAAGAAGGCAAUAGAGGAGGAAAACUCCGACAUUAUGAUACAUAAUAUUUUUAGAUUAAAGAAGAAGGAUCGCACCACUGCCCUAUGGACCGACUCAGAAAAUAUAUGUGUGCAAAAAAUGGGGGAGGACAUCCCAGAGAGCCUCCUUAUCAUGCGCACAAUAAACACAGUCACACCCUACAUCUCAUCGGUCAGACUAUGUUAUAAAUGUGGCUAUUUUGGUCACAUUAGCAAAUACUGCGAAAGGAAUCCAAGAUGUCUUCAAUGUGGAGAGAGUGAUCACCAAAGCUCAAAGGAUCAGCCGUGCCAAAAGGAAAAAAAAUGCAUAAACUGCUCCGGUUCUCAUUCAACCACAGAUAGAGAGUGCCCUCUUUACGUUAGAAACGCUGAAAUAGCAAGAGUGAUGGCUUAUGAUAAUCUCUUUGAGGCCAAAACUCUGGUUAUCAGGCAAGAAAAGAAGACACCUGUAAUAACACCGCCGAAAACAAUCAAGAAUUUUCCCCUUCUCCCACAAAAGAAGGGAGUGUCUUUGGUCGACAAUCCGGCUAUGUUCCAGUCAUCAGUCAAGAGCGAUCGGUUAUGGACACAAUUAUUCACCCAUUGCGCGGCAGAGGUUAAGGCUAGAGCGUACCGCCUGCUGGACUGGCUGCUGGAAUUAGAAGAAAUUGAUGACCUAUUUGACAGGAUGGAGAAGACUUUGGAAAACCACAAGAUAGUAGUGGAACACACAAAACAAAAAAGACUUGGCUAACUAAUCAAAAUACUUUCCUCUUGAGAGGAUUUGACAUAAUUAGGAAGGACAGAGAGAACAGAAAAGGCGGCGGAGUGGCGAUAAUUGUGUCUCACUCUCUUAAGUAUCGAGCCAUCCAGAUACCAUACGAUUGCUUAGGCAAGAUAGAGGUUUGUGCGGCGGAAAUUUUUCUUGUCGGUGAGUCUUUAAUACUAAUAGCAUGUUACCGCCCUCCUAAUUUAGGAGUUAUUACAGAUGACGAAUGGAGUAGAUUUAUUAAUCAAUUUGGAAACCAUAUUUUGGUUAUUUUUGCCGGAGAUUUUAAUGCUCACAAUGGGCAUUGGGGCUUGAAUUAUUCAUGCCCAAACGGUAGAAAUUUAUGAUCGGCUAUUGAGGAUUCGGAUUUUGCACUGGUUGGGGAUGGUUCUCCAACUUUUUGUGGUGACGCUAUUAGAAGCCCUUCUACUAUCGACCUCACUAUUUGUCAUGUAUCUAUGCUACCUAAAAUCUAAAGAACGGUCCUCCCAGACGCAUGGGGUAGCGAUCAUUUCCCGAUCUGUGUCGAAACAUUCUAUUCCCAAAAUAUAGCAAAAAACCGAUGAAAAGGCCCCCACUAUAUAAUAAGUCAACCAACUGGAAAAAUUUCCAAAUAAUUAUGGAUGCUGAUGUCAAAAAUCUUAUUACAGACCAAGAAAAUGAUGUUCUUAGUAUAUACACUAAGCAUAUACACAACUUUUGUGGCCUCAAUCGAAAAGGCUGUAAAGGAAGCAUCAGCCCCGCUUAAGGACCGCCUUUCCAUAGGCCCUCCUCCGUGCUUAUGGUGGUCAAGAGAAUGCGACAAUCUCGUCAAUGAUAGAAAACUGGCAUGGCACAGAUUUAACAUCACGAGAAAUUACGAAGAUUUUGAGCGCUACAAACAGCAAUGUGCAUUAACGAAAAAAGGACUGCGCAGAAUUAAAUAUGAAAAGUUUAAAGAAUUCAAUGAAUCAAUUAAAAAAGACACCAGCCCAACAUUUAUCUGGAACACUGUUAAAAAAUUUGAUUCAAGAUGGAACCGUAUUGAAAACAGUCAGUCAAUAUCCGAAGAUAAGAUUGAAACAAUCUCCAAACAAAUAGACGAACUCUUUCCCCCUUGGGUCCCUCCCCCCACGCCAGAUCUUAUGUCUCCAGGAUCAGAUAACUUUAUGGACCUUCCUUUUACUCACGAGGAACUAACUUGGGCUAUAGAGUCAGUUAACGUGAAAUCGAGUCCAGGUAUCGAUAGAAUUGAUUACAAAAUUAUUAAAAAUUUCUCCCCGAUGGGCAGAUCGGUUCUUCUUAGAAUUUUUAAUCUGAUUUUUAGAAAAGGUCUUUUUCCAGAAGAAUGGAGGAAAUAUCUAGUUUGCUUCAUUCCUAAAACAGGCAAAAACAAGUUCCGCCCAAUUUCGUUGUCAUCGUACCUAGGAAAGAUAAUGGAAAGAAUGAUUACCAAUCGUCUUCUUUGGUGGUUGGAAGUCAAUAACGUUCUCCCGUCCUCACAAUUUGGCUUCCGUAAGCAAAAAUCCUGUAUGGAUAAUUUGUCAAUUCUUUACGCUGAUAUUAUUGGGGGUUUUGAAGAAAAGAGGAAUGUUCCUGCGGUUUUCCUAGACAUCAAGGCCGCCUAUGACAACGUUCUACCGAAUAUAUUAAUCAAUAAUUUACUGGAAAUAGGAAUUAGACGUCAAAAGAUAUGCAUAUAAAGGCCUUCCGCAAGGAAGUGUCUUAAGUCCUAUUCUAUACACACUGUAUGUCCAAGAUUUGGAUAGAUAUUGCCA
rnacentral:misc_RNA from 1 species